AAUAUGUCAUUAUUGACCAACUGAAGAUGAUUAACUUCAAAUUAUUAUACAAUCUACAAAAACAUUAUUUAAUAUUCUAAAAUUUUGAAAUAAUUCAUCCACCAACUUGGUGCUUUCAAUAUUUAAUAAAAUUCUAUGAAUAUGCAUCAGCUUUAACCAUAGAGACGUUAUUGUUCUUAGAAAAAAUAGUAACGAUAAGAAAAGUUGAAUGAAUCUUGGCCUAGUCUGUAAGAAGAGAAGUUUAUGAAGGGAAUCAAAAAAGUUUGAUGGUAAUUUCAAAGUCAAAGUAGGUAGCUUCGAUAUAAGAUGUCUGAGUAAAGUUGAAUUGUCAGUUGAAGAGACAAAUUAAUAUUCUUAUAUCACUCGAACUAGUUUAUCAAGAAGUCUCGAGUACUGAUGAUCAUUUCUCAAGAGUCCAAGCUCAAACUUCAUCGUUUUUAUAUUUAUCUUUCAUCUCUUUUCCUUUUUCUUCAUUCAAUAUAUACAAAAAUAACUCACAUACAUUCCCUUUUUUGCUCGAGGCCGUUUGACUUGAUUACACUUUAUAUCAAUUUAAGACGUAUAAAUUGUAGUUGUCCGUUAUAAAACACGUGGCGUAACAAAUAACCUCGUGUGGAAUGCGAGGGUCGAAUGACGCCCAUAUACAAACUAUCACUAAAUAUCACUGAACUCGGGGAUUUUUUUAAUGAUUAUAUAGAGCAUUUGUUUAAUGCAUCCUACACGUGAUGUCAGGAAAAUUCGAUAAUAAAUCAAGGAUAGUAAAAGUGAAAUCUUGGAAUAUUGAUGGAUUUUGAGGUUACUCAAAUGUUUGAUAUUCAUAAAAAUAGAACGAAACAUUGGACAGCAGUUAUAAACAAUAAAAUAUUUAUAAAUGAUAUGGAUAAAAUUGAAAAAAAAAUUAUCAGGAAAUGUUGUUUAUGCUGUUAUUUUUAAUGACACGAAAUAAAGAGGUUAUGAUAAAUUGAGAUUUAAAAAUGGAGUAAUUAACAACAAGGAUUUAUUUUGGGAUUUUUUUUAGAUAAAAAUAAAUGAAUGCACAAUUUUUAGUGCAAAUAAAUUCAAUCAUGCAAAUAUAGGAAAUAUUUUUUCAUGAAAAAAAUGCAAGUGUAUUGAAAAAAAUGAAGUUUUUUUAAUAAAAAAAAGUCUGUAAUAAAAAAAUUUAUCCAAUUAAAAUUGAUGAUCCCCUGAGGGAAAAAUAUAACGAAUAAACAAAUAUUUAUUUCUAACAACAACUUUUUGAUAAAGUUUUCAAAUGGUUGGAGUCGUCAUUUUGCUGCAAACUCAACUAAGUGAAAUAUUUGUAUUUAAUUUGAUAAGAUACUUUAUCAAUAGUUUCGUGGUUUAAUUGAUUGAGAAAAUUCCAACAUUUCAUUGAAGCUUUUAAAAUUAAUUUUGAUGUUCUACAAAAUAAAAAUGUAAAAAUUCAUAAAAGAGUUUGAAUAAUCAACAUAUUAUAUACCAAGUAUUAAACCAUGAAAUUGAAUUAUUUUUAACUCCAAAAAAAAUUAUUUGAAUCAACAUGGAUUAUCAUUAGGCAUGCAUUUAUAUAAAAAAAAUGAUGACAAAAACUAAAAGAUCAGCAUCAAGAUAUAGUUGAAAGGAAAUUGGUGUUUUUACGCUGUUAAUUGUAAAUGUUAAUGAACAUCGUUGAAUAACGGGUUUCUCCAUCAACUUAGCAGAAUAUAAUACAGAAAAGUCUUUGUAUGACAAAGGAAAACAUUCUUUAGUCUUUGACGGGUUUUUCACAGAAAAGAAAUCAACUCAAUCUUCUUGAUUAACAUCAUAUAGCAUUCUUCGUUUUCUUAACUUCUUUACUUCAAUCUCCAGGUUCUCCCUUUCGUAGUAAGAUCGAAGUACCGAUUUUCUUUGUUGGAUCGCUUGCCAAGGAAUUCACAUGGAAUUCUUUGCUCAACAAGCGUAGCGUUUGUUGAAUAUUAAUAUUGUACUCUAGAAUGUUAGUGAAGAAAAGAUAAUCCGCUUGGAAAGAAAUAAAAUGGAAGAGUAAAAAACAUAAGAGAAGAGAAUCUUCACAAAGUUAGUGAAAAAAAUAAUUUUUUUUUUUAAUCUUUUUACCAACUUCUUUAUCUCUAUUGUCUGAUGUUUUUAAUUAAGUUUUUUUUGUAGUUUACCUUCAUUUGCAUUUUACGUUAACGAGUAGUUUCUUUACAUUUUCACAAAAUUUUGUCUGAGAUAAAUAUAAAUAUUAUUUUUAUUAUAUUUUUGUUUAACAUUAACUGAAAAUUUUGGUAUUUUUUUUUCGACACAUUAUUUGUGGAGUCUUUAAUAUGUUUAAUGCGUUUUUUAUUGACGUUUAAUAGCAGCUUUUUGGCAAUUAUUCUUUUUGCUCACGCCAUGACCUCCAGAAUACAUAUAAAUAGCUAACGACACUACCCCUAUGACACGAGGGAAUUAAAAGGUCGUUGGGGGUGGCUUGCUAAAGUGAUCAAAAUGAUAUUAAAAUUUUGUCAAUUACUCUAUAAAUUAACAGUUACUAAGAAA